AGCUAGUCCAAAAGUGUGAAUAUUAGAAAAACAGGUGUGAACGUGAACACAGUGGCAGGCUGCCAUGGUUCUAAUGGCUGGACUGAAAUGGUAGGUGAUGCUACAUCUAAGGAAGAAAGAUGUGCUCUUGGUCCCACCUCAAGUCCAGGUCGCUGCCUUUACCUGCUGUCUCUAAUUCCUGUUCCCCAUGAGGAUGGAUGGGCCAGGUGCCAGGUGGCCUCAUUCAUGUUCUCCCAUCACGGCACCAGGAGCACCAGGCCAUGAUGGGGACCUCCUGGCAGUUCUGUUCUUACUCUGAGGGUACCCUCCACCCUCUGAGGAAGAGCAUAGCUACAGAGGCCUCCUCCAGGCUCAGAGGGGUUGGCUUUCCCUCCAGCUCUGGUUCAGCACUCCAGAUUAGAGGAACAGAAAGGAAAAGCAGCCUCUCCGCUGGGAUCCACAGUGGUUGGGUUUGUAUUUUCCCAUCAAGAGCCUUUCUUGGAGCUCUUGGGCUUUCUCCCAUCCCCUUCAAGUCACAUCUUAAUAAAAGCCUCCUAAAACUGAACUAUGUGAUGUGGGCUCCAAUCCCCAUAACCUUAUAACUGUAACCCUUUGGCACACUGGUCUAGGGAAAAUAUUACAGCCGUCUCUCCCCAAAGGACACUUGGCAAUUUUGGAGACAUUUUUGGUUGCUACUGUGGGUAGUGGUAGAGGGGUGUUAUCAUCCUAAAGAGGGAAGAGGCCAGAGAUGCUGCUAACUGUCUUACAAUGUGCAGGAAAGGCCCUGCGAUAAGAAUUAUCCAGUCACAAAUGUCAGCAGUGGCCAGACAGAGAAGCCCCGAUCCUUCUCCACCUUACUACCCAGGAUUGGAAACCACAGUCCCUGACUUCCCUGUGGGGACUCCCAAUUACAUGGCCCUUCUUCUGGUGGUAGCUUUUCUGACAUAUUGAUAAACCGAUUCCUACCGCUGUACUGGUCAUGGGAGAAGGGACUGGAGAUUUUGCAACUGAGUUGAGCACUUUCUCCUCAGAGGGUCCUACUUCUGAUCUGGAUGCCAGUUCAUGUGACAGUCUGCGACAGGGUGACAUGCAUAUAGAUGGCAUGGAUACCGACAACAGCUCUUCUAUACAUUAUGGACUUAUCAUUGUAUGUUAUUAAGUAGUACUAAACAAUACUGCCUUCUGGUACUCAGAUUUCCCUCAGGUAACAGACACUGCUGGCCCCACUGUGCAGGCCCUAGGCUCUGUGCUGCCUUGGAAGCUCGCCAGGACGAUGCUCAUUAAAAUGCAAGAUCCUGGGGUCCCCUCUUGGGGUCUCCUCUGACUGCACAGUCACGGUAGACCCUGAGAGUCCGUGAUUCUAGCCAGCAGUAGAGGCUGCUCUACAGUAAGCUAUCCAGGGCCCACCUGUAAGAACCAGUGGUAGAAAUCACAAAAUUCUCUCGGCCUAACGCCAGGCUUGAGAAUUCAAUGUGGUGAUUUUCUGUAUCUCUGAAAAAAAUCUAACAUUUAUUCUCUCAAGUUUCCCAUUUUCAGCUGAACAUGGAUGGUAAGGGAGCAGGAUGCCAUUACACUGGAGAGAUGGAACAUUUCCAUGGGAACAGAGGCAUGGCAUUUUACCUUAAAAGUGGAUUUGGAUAACUCAGAGUGAACAUCAAGCACAGAUGUUUGUAUGGACAGGAGAGAGAGCCCUUGCCUGCUCCUCAUCUCUGAACUGACCUCAGUACACAGUCCCAGCUUUGUUUGGUAAUGUGGUCUCUUGGUCACCAAGAUAAAUGGUUCCUUUGGUUACUUUCAGUUGAAUUUCAAAGCCCCUUCUCUGACCUGCUUCCCAUUUGUGAGUUUUCAGUGGACCAGUCAUUUUAACACACCAACUACCAUGAACCAUGCAGCCUAAACUUUCCUUUUUCAGUGGGCCAGUGGUUUUAACACACCAACUACCAUGAACCAUGCAGCCUAAACUUCCCUCCAAGUAAAGUCCUUCCAAGCUGUUGUAAGACCUCAACAUUAAUGUCUAAAAUCAAGAAGUUGUCUCACUAUGUAGAGUGUGUGUGUGUGUGUGUGUGUGUGUGUGUGUGUGUGUGUAACAUAGUCAAUCACUUUCAGCCCAAUCACUUCAUCUGACUGUGAUCAAUUAAAAAGUAAAAUUUAAUAAUAAAAGAAACAUCAGGUAUGCAAACCACGUCGAUAACCCCAGCACUGAAGAAAAGCAGAAGGGUCUCUGUGAAUCUGAGUUUCUAUACCAAGUUUCAGGCCAACUAGAACUACAUAGAAAGACCCCCAUCUCAAAAAACAAACAAACGAAAAGACAUCUAUAUGAUAACAAACAACAGAUUUGAGCUAAUGUAUCAUAGUUGUCGUUAGAGGAAAACGGUAUGAACUGAGGGCCAGAACGUCUCAGGAUGCUCUAAAGUGGGUCUCUUUCACCUCUCCUGAGCUCUCUCACAUUCUGUUCCUCUAGAACGCUGUUCUUAUACUUUAAAAGUCGCUAUGCUCUCACCUCAUUUUCCACGUCUCCUUUUUAGUCUAGGUAGCCCCUCAUUGGCCGCUGGGCUCACAAACUCGGCACUCCCUUAAAUUCACUCGUGGGUGAAUCACUUCAAAAUACUCCAAUCUCUGUGCCCUUACUGAAAGCCAUCCAACAGAGAGACGACUUUCCAAGCCAGAAACAACUCUAUAGACAUGUGAACAAAACCUCAAUUUUGUAUACGAGGCACAGCCCAAGACCACCCAAGUUCCCUUGAUCCACGCAGCCCACCUCUGGACAGGAGAGACCCCUUCCAGCAUGCUGAAACUUCAGUCAACACAUCAACCUGGAUGCAAAUCUCCACCCCACUCGGCAUUGCUGCUUUUACCCACCAAGGACUCACAGCCCAGCAUGCAAAUAGUGGGUGCUCAAGCAUAAGAACCCCCCGAGCCCUAAAAAAGCUGACAACCUCCUGAGCACCAUCCCCGGCAGCUCCAUGGGGAACUUGACAUCCAAAGUCUCAGUCCUGGGAUCUUUAACUUAGGAAUUCUGAAGACAUUCUGAAGGAGGCAUUUAGAGACAUAUGGGGAACUUCCUGGACUCUUUGGGCUCUCUUCUCCCACCUCCCAGAUGCAGCUAAUAGGAAGAAGGCCAAUAUAGAAGAAGCUAAGUAGAGCAUGGGAAGGGAUAUGAUGGGGAAGUGCAGGGAGCUGUGAAAGUUCAUAUGGGCGGGGCGUAAGCGGGACUCACAGGAAAGGGGGCCGGCUUCCUGAAGCAGGCUCUCUCACACUCUGACUUGACAAAUGUGUUAGAGACAUGAGAAGGUUUCCAAAAGGACCAGCUGUGGCGGCUCACACGCCUGUAAUCUGAGCCCUGAGGCUGAGGGAGGCAGACUGCCCUGAGUUUUUAAGAGUCAGAUCCCUUCACAAAAUGAAAAGGGGGGAGGGGAGCAGGGAGAGGGGUGAUGGGGCGGGGAGAGGGAGACAGGGUUAUAAAAAGCUCUCUAGAACAGUAUAGAAAGAUCUCCUCUGCUUGCUCCUAGGCUGCUGAAAAGUGUGAAAAGAAUGAGCGGGGUCAGAGGGUGCUGUAGGCAGGUCCCAGAAGGCCCUGGUGAAGUUUUGUCUUCUUUCAGGUAAAUGGGGAUCUCCAAGGAGUCUUCUUCAGCUUGGCAGAGUGAGGAGGCUGAACCCAACCCCCCAAGUGGGAGGACAGAAGGGAGGAAGGUUGCACAAGGAAAGAAGAGAAAACACACCAGAGCCUCUGAUGGAAAUGAGAACCCUGAAGGUUCUUACACAAGAAGCAGAGACGCUCUGACCCUGACUCCAGUGACUGACUGGGGUGGUGGCAGUUCCCACCACAGAGAAGGGGUAUGCACAAAAGGAAAGAAGCCUGACCUGGGGCCGGGAACUGGGAGCCGUGGACUCGGUACAGUUCCAGGCCAGAAGUGGGACUCCACAUGAUGGAGACAGCAGUGGCCGGGCCUGUGUGGGGGCCAGGGUAGCUUCCCUGGAAAUGAGACCACGAAAGUGGUUAGGAAGCAAGGGUGCAGGGAGGAAGCCACUGUCCACAAAAGAAACAGCAGUGGCCAUUAAAAUGUGUCCCCCAGCGUGUGCAAUCGGGGGAGCAUCAAGAAUGGUCAAAGGAACAGGAUGGCCAGAGGUCACAGGGAGACCUCAGGCACGUCUGAGGAACUGGACUUUUUUUUUUUUUUUUUUUUGGAAAGGCCUCACUGUGCAACUCUGGCUGGCCUGGAACUCACUGUGUAGACCAGCAGGCUGGCCUCUAACUCUUCUGCCUCCCAAGCGACAGGAUUAAAGGUAUGUGUCACCAUGCCACACCCAACAAGGUGACAAAACUUUCAAACAUGCCUUGCCUUUUACUGUGAUUACAGAAUCCCGUGGGUGUUCUUUGUAGACAUUUUAAAGAAGAAUAAACAAAAAUGGCCGUGUCCAUGUCAUGUGGAUAGUGA